AUACAAAAGUUUAUACAAAGAGUAUUUUCGGUUAAGAGAAACGUUUUAAUAAAAAUAAAUUGUCAUGGAUAUAUUGUAAAUGUGCAUUUUCAUGUUAACUUACAGUUGAAAUCUUAAAUGGACUAGUCACUUUUAUAGAUUUGCAGCUAAAAUAUAUAGGUCCCAAAUUGGACUAAAUCAAUCAUGGAACUAAGUAUAUUUUAACCUUAGGACACCGACUAGUAGGUGUAGACCUUAGGGUCGAGGAGUCGUGGAGUAUCAUGUAUGUAUCAGUUAUGUGACUACUAGUGUGAGUAUGGCUGGUAGAAUAUUAGUAGACGGUAGGGCAUCUACUAGUAGGUGUAGACGGUAGGGCAUCUACCAGUAGGUGUAUACGGUAGGGCACCUACUAGUAGGUGUAGACGGUAGGUCAUUACUAGUAGGUGUAGACGGUAGGGCAUCUACUAGUAGGUGUAUACGGUAGGGCAUCUACUAGUAGAUGUAGACGGUAGGGCAUCUCCUAGUAAGUGUAUACGGUAGGUCAUCUACUAGUAGGUGUAGACGGUAGGGCAUCUAGUAGUAGGUGUAGACGGUAGGUCAUUACUAGUAGGUGUAGACGGUAGGGCAUCUACUAGUAGGUGUAUACGGUAGGGCAUAUACUAGUAGAUGUAGACGGUAG